GGGAAGGCCGGGCAAAGUGAAUACCCCGGGUAAAGCGAAUACUCCCCACUACUCCUAAAUUAUUAGUUGUUCAUUCAACACGCCACCACUGUUACGUUCGGCCAUCUUGGUUUAGUACGCGGCAAACAUCGAAGCGAGGGGCCGCGUCGCGUCCCGUCCGCGGAGUGAAGAUUUGUGUUUUCGUAAAUAAAAGAUUGAUUUUACGCGAUGGUGAAUAAAUAUAAAAAAAAACUAAGCAAGGGACGUGGGAUGAAAAUGUUAUGCAAACGGCUAUUAAUUUGUGUAAAGGCGGAGAAUCAGUAAAAAGCACAGCUAAAAAGUAUGGUUUGGCUUAUGCAACCUUGUAUAGGCAUGUAAAAACCGGCAUAGCUGCUUCAAAACUUGGUCGAUUCCGUCCUGUUUUCACUGAAGAUCAGGAAAAAGAGUUGGUGACAUAUCUUAAAGAUAUGGAUUCUGUAUUUUUUGGCUUGACUCGAGAUGAAUUUAAAAAUUUAGCGUUCAUCUACGCCAAGAAAAAUAAUUUGAACUACCCGAAUAACUGGGACAAGUACGAAAAAGCUGGAGAUGAUUGGUUAUCGUCAUUUUUGUCUCGUCACGAGCAAAUAUCCCUUAGGACUCCAGAGGUAACAUCCGUUGCAAGGGCAAAAGGAUUUAACAGAUAUGAAGUUGGACGUUUCUAUGAAAACCUUGAAGCUUUAACAGUAAAAUAUGAUAUUGAUGCAUCUAGAUUAUAUAACAUGGAUGAAACUGGUAUAUCUACAACCACAAAUAAACCGCCUAAAGUGCUAUCAACGAAAGGAAAGAAACAAGUGGGCAUAAUCGCCAGUGCAGAACGUGGUCAAUUAACGACUGUCAUAGGUUGUUGUAAUGCCGCUGGUUCAUUUCUCCCACCAUUCUUAAUUUUUGCCAGAAAAAAGAUGCAACCCAGACUACUUGAUGGUGCACCUCCCGGUACUCAAGGAACCUGUACUCCAAAUGGCUGGACUUCAGGCGAGGUGUUCUUUGAUUGGAUGCAUUUUUUUGUGGAACAUGUUCGACCUACCCCUGAGAAAAAAAUACUUCAAGUAUUACCCAGCUUUAGAUUACGCCAGCAAGAACAAUGUCGUAAUUUUAUCCUUGGCCCCACACACAACUCAUAAAAUGCAGCCCAUGGAUGUAGCGGUUUACGGCCCACUGAAAACUUACUUUGAAAGGGAGGUAAAUUUCUUCCAAAAAUCGCACCCAGGACGCAUUAUAAAUCAAUACGAUGUAGCCAGACUGUUAUCACCAGCUUUUCUGAAAAGUGCAGUAGCUCAAAAUGCAGUUCAUGGAUUUGAAAGACCUGGUAUUUGGCCAGUGAAUAAAUAUGCUUUUGGUGACGAAGAUUACGAACCAGCCGCUGUGAGUGAUUGCAGGCACGUCUAAUAUGAAUAUUGGCACAGAAAGUACAAACGCACUAGAAACGAUCGAUAUUCCCAGACCUUUUGCAGAAACUUCUUCAACUCCUUCGCCUUCAAUUCUUCAAGAACAGAUUCCAUUAAAUUCAGUAGAUUAUCUAUCAGAAAUAUUUCCAUCUCGAAACAGAACUCCUUCUUGUGAGUUUCAAGACUUUGUUGCGUUUAUCGUUAACACGCCUGAAAAGAUUCGUAGCGACGGAUGUACACCUGAACCAGAACCUGGAUGUUCCCGAAUUGUCUCCGCUUUUGGGCCAGAUAUAGCUGCUCAGAGAAGUGACACAGUGCUACCAGAGACUGAAGUAAAUAUUCGUCAAAAUACUAGCCGUGACAACUCACCUGAUCCAAAACCGGGAUGCUCAGCCUCCCACUGCAGUCCCUUGGUGUUAAGACCCAUUCCAAAUCCUGCCAAACCAUUGACCAUGCGUAAACGAAAGUUACAAAAAUCGGAAAUAUUAACCAGUACCCCGAUCAAGGAAGAUCAAAAGCAGAAAUAUGAAAAAAAUAAAGUUAAGAAUGUUAAGUCAAAAAAAGUUCCUAAGAAGACUAAUACAAAGACUGCUAAAAAUGUUAAACAGAAGAAAAUCAAAGAAUUUAAGGAUAUUUCAUGCUUUUUUUGUGGUGAAAUGUAUAUCGAAGAAGACGAUAAACCGAUUGAAAAUUGGAUUCAAUGUGACAUUUGUCAACAAUGGUGCCACGAAGCUUGUUCUGCUUUUGAUGGCACUCAAGGGUAUACCUGUGACAAUUGUCAAUCUUGAUUUUCAAAUUUUAUGGUUAAGUUAAGUUUUUUUUUUUUUCAGUUUAUUAAAGGUUUUUUUUAAGUUUUCAGAGAUUUAAUAUGGGUAUUCACUUUGCCCAAGUACUGUGUCCGCUUUACCCGGGGUAUCGGGCAAAGCGAAUAGUUUCGUAUUUUUUUUAAUAUUGAUUGCAGUUCAUUUUUGUUUAAAUAUUAAUGGUAACUGGUGUUUGUAUUUGUAAGAGCAAUAAAUAAAGACUGAUUUGUGAUAAU